rnacentral:rRNA from 1 species
CGAACGGGUGAGUAAUGCGUGACCAACCUCGCCCCAUGCUCCAGAAUAGCUCUUGGAAACGGGUGGUAAUGCUGGAUGCUCCAACUUGACGCAUGUCUUGUUGGGAAAGUGUUUAGUGGCAUGGGAUGGGGUCGCGUCCUAUCAGCUUGUAGGCGGGGUAAUGGCCCACCUAGGCUUCGACGGGUAGCCGGCCUGAGAGGGCGGACGGCCACAUUGGGACUGAGAUACGGCCCAGACUCCUACGGGAGGCAGCAGUA